AAAAUUUCAAAGGUCGAACAGACCUAAAAUUUCUAGCUUCUACACCAAAAAUUAAUUUUAAUCCAACAUCGAGGUCGCAAUCUUUUUUUUCGAUUAGAACUCUUUAAAAAAAUUACGCUGUUAUCCCUAAGGUAAUUUUUUCUUUUAAUCAUUAACUAUGGAUCAAAUUUUCAUAAAUGAAUGGUUUUAAAUAAAAAAAGUUUAAUUAGUUUUUCAGUCACCCCAACCAAAUAAAAAAUAAACAUUUACUUAAAAAUACCUAACUAUAAAUAUCCAAUUCAUAUAAAACUCUAUAGGGUCUUCUCGUCUUUUAAAAAAAUUUAAGCUUUUUUACUUAAAAAUAAAAUUCUUUUCAAAUAAUUUAGAGACAGUACUUUUUUCAUCCAACCCUUCAUUCCAGCUUUCAAUUAAAAAACUAAUGAUUAUGCUACCUUAGCACGGUCAAAAUACCGCGGCCAUUUAAAUCUUCAGUGGGCAGGCCAGACCUUAAAUUAUUAUCAAAAAGCC
rnacentral:rRNA from 1 species